rnacentral:rRNA from 1 species
UAAUACGGAGGAUGCAAGCGUUAUCCGGAUUUAUUGGGUUUAAAGGGUGCGCAGGCGGGUUUGUAAGUCAGCGGUGAAAUCCUACGGCUCAACCGUAGAACUGCCAUUGAUACUGCAGACCUUGAGUGUAUUUGAAGUGGGCGGAAUGUAGCAUGUAGCGGUGAAAUGCAUAGAUAUGCUACAGAACACCAAUUGCGAAGGCAGCUCACUAAACUACAACUGACGCUCAUGCACGAAAGCGUGGGGAGCAAACAGGAUUAGAUACCCUGGUAGUCCACGCUGUAAACGAUGAUUACUCGUUGUUGGCAACACAUCGUCAGCGACCAAGCGAAAGUGAUAAGUAAUCCACCUGGGGAGUACGGCCGCAAGGUUG